GCGUGGAUGAAGAAGGUCUUCGGAUUGUAAAGUCCUUUCGGCGGGGACGAUGAUGACGGUACCCGCAGAAGAAGCCCCGGCUAACUUCGUGCCAGCAGCCGCGGUAAUACGAAGGGGGCUAGCGUUGCUCGGAAUUACUGGGCGUAAAGGGCGCGUAGGCGGAUGAUUUAGUCAGGCGUGAAAGCCCCGGGCUCAACCUGGGAAUUGCGCUUGAAACGGGUCAUCUUGAGGGCGAGAGAGGGUGGUGGAAUUCCCAGUGUAGAGGUGAAAUUCGU
rnacentral:rRNA from 1 species